AUUGAACGCUGGCGGCAUGCUUUACACAUGCAAGUCGAACGGCAGCGGGGGCUUCGGCCUGCCGGCGAGUGGCGAACGGGUGAGUAAUGCAUCGGAACGUACCCAGUCAUGGGGGGAUAACUACGCGAAAGCGUAGCUAAUACCGCAUACGCCCUGAGGGGGAAAGCGGGGGAUCGCAAGACCUCGCGUGAUUGGAGCGGCCGAUGUCGGAUUAGCUAGUUGGUGGGGUAAAGGCCUACCAAGGCGACGAUCCGUAGCGGGUCUGAGAGGAUGAUCCGCCACACUGGGACUGAGACACGGCCCAGACUCCUACGGGAGGCAGCAGUGGGGGAAUUUUGGGACAAUGGGGGGCAACCCUGAUCCAGCCAUGCCGCGUGAGUGAAGAAGGCCUCGG
rnacentral:rRNA from 1 species